rnacentral:tRNA from 1 species
UCCUGGUUAGCUCACUUGGUAGAGCUUCCCACUGGAAAUGGAGAGGUCCCUGGUUCGAUACCAGAAUUAGGCG